AUACGUAGGGUGCGAGCGUUAAUCGGAAUUACUGGGCGUAAAGCGUGCGCAGGCGGUUUUGUAAGACAGUGGUGAAAUCCCCGGGCUCAACCUGGGAACUGCCAUUGUGACUGCAAGGCUGGAGUGCGGCAGAGGGGGAUGGAAUUCCGCGUGUAGCAGUGAAAUGCGUAAGUAUGCGGAGGAACACCGAUGGAGAAGGCAAUCCCCGGGGCCUGCACUGACGCUCAUGCACGAACGCGUGGGGAGCAAACAGGAUUAGAUACCCAGGUAGUCCACGCCCUAAACGAUGUCAACUGGUUGUUGGGAAUUUAUUUUCUCAGUAACGAAGCUAACGCGUGAAGUUGACCGCCUGGGGAGUACGGCCGCAAGGUUAAAACUCAAAGGAAGUGACGGGG
rnacentral:rRNA from 1 species